rnacentral:rRNA from 1 species
GAUGAACGCUGGCGGCGUGCCUAAUACAUGCAAGUAGAACGCUGAAGGCAGUAUCUUGCUCUUUCCGGAUGAGUUGCGAACGGGUGAGUAACGCGUAGGUAACCUGCCUGGUAGCGGUGGAUAACUAUUGGAAACGAUAGCUAAUACCGCAUAACAGUAGAUGUUGCAUGAUAUUUACUUAAAAGGUGCAAUUGCACUACUACCAGAUGGUCCUGCGUUGUAUUAGCUAGUUGGUGGGGUAACGGCUCACCAAGGCGACGAUACAUAGCCGAACUGAGAGGGUGAUAGGCCACACGGGGAGGGGGACAGGGCCCAGAGGACUGCGGGAGGGAGCAGUAGGGAAUCGUAGGCAAUGGACGGAAGUAUGACCGAGCAAGGCCGCGUGAGUGAAGAAGGUUGUCGGAUCGUAAAGCUCUGUUGUAAGAGAAGAACGAGUGUGGGAGUGGAAAGUGCACACUGUGACGGUAGCUUACAAGAAAGGGACGGCUAACUACGUG